GGAAGAGUCGAUAGCUCAGUUGGUUAGAGCAUGGUGCUGAUAACACCAAGGUCGCAGGUUCAAUCCCUGCAUAUUCCU